rnacentral:rRNA from 1 species
AAAGGGGAGCUUUGCUCCCUGGCGAUUCAGCGGCGGACGCCGUUUAGUAAUGCCUAUGGAAUCUGCCUGGUAGUGGGGGAUAACGUCCGGAAACGGGCGCUAAUACCGCAUACGUCCUGAGGGAGAAAGUGGGGGAUCUUCGGACCUCACGCUAUCAGAUGAGCCUAGGUCGGAUUAGCUAGUUGGUGGGGUAAAGGCCUACCAAGGCGACGAUCCGUAACUGGUCUGAGAGGAUGAUCAGUCACACUGGAACUGAGACACGGUCCAGACUCAUACGGGAGGCAGCAGUGGGGAAUAUUGGACAAUGGGCGAAAGCCUGAUCCAGCCAUGCCGCGUGUGUGAAGAAGGUCUUCGGAUUGUAAAGCACUUUAAGUUGGGAGGAAGGGCAGUAAGUUAAUACCUUGCUGUUUUGACGUUACCAACAGAAUAAGCACCGGCUAACUUCGUGCCAGCAGCCGCGGUAAUACGAAGGGUGCAAGCGUUAAUCGGAAUUACUGGGCGUAAAGCGCGCGUAGGUGGUUCAGCAAGUUGGAUGUGAAAUCCCCGGGCUCAACCUGGGAACUGCAUCCAAAACUACUGAGCUAGAGUACGGUAGAGGGUGGUGGAAUUUCCUGUGUAGCGCUGAAAUGCGUAGAUAUAGGAAGGAACACCAGUGGCGAAGGCGACCACCUGGACUGAUACUGACACUGAGGUGCGAAAGCUUGCGGUGCAAACAGGAUUAGAUACCCUGGUAGUCCACGCCGUAAACGAUGUCGACUAGCCGUUGGGAUCCUUGAGAUCUUAGUGGCGCAGCUAACGCGAUAAGUCGACCGCCUGGCGAGUCCGGCCGCGAGGUUAAAACUUAAAUGAAUUGACUGGGGGCCCCCACAAGCGGUGGAUCAUGUCGUUUAAUUCGAAGCAACGCGUAGAACCUUACCUUGGCCU